rnacentral:siRNA from 1 species
AUACGAAGCUGAAUUGGGUGGCC